UACAGAGGUCUCAAGCGUUGUUCGGAUUCAUUGGGCGUAAAGGGUGCGUAGGCGGCAGUGCAAGUCAGGUGUGAAAUCCCGGGGCUCAACCCCGGAACUGCACUCGAUACUGCUCUGCUAGAGUACUGGAGAGGAGACUGGAAUUUACGGUGUAGCAGUGAAAUGCGUAGAUAUCGUAAGGAAGACCAGUGGCGAAGGCGAGUCUCUGGACAGUUACUGACGCUGAGGCACGAAGGCCAGGGGAGCAAACGGG
rnacentral:rRNA from 1 species